rnacentral:rRNA from 1 species
GUACACGCUGUGACUAGCAUAUCAAUAAGCGGAGGAAAAGAAACUAACAAGGAUUCCCCUAGUAACGGCGAGUGAAGCGGGAAGAGCUCAAAUUUGAAAUCUUAAAGGGUUUCCCUUUACGAAUUGUAGUUUAAAGAAGUGUUUUCUGUUGAGGUUUUGGUAAAAGUUCUUUGGAAUAGGACAUCAUAGAGGGUGAGAAUCCCGUAUUUGACCUUUACUUUCAACUUUGUGAUACACUUUCAAAGAGUCGGAUUGUUUGGGAAUGCAGUCCAAAAUGGGUGGUAAAUUUCAUCUAAAGCUAAAUAUUGGCGAGAGACCGAUAGCGAACAAGUACCGUGAGGGAAAGAUGAAAAGAACUUUGAAAAGAGAGUUAAACAGUACGUGAAAUUGUCAAAAGGGAAGCGUUUGACACCAGUGUUGUUUUUCUGAAAAUCAAUUAAAGAACUGUUUAUGCUAAGUUGUUUAGACUUUAUCAGCUAUCUGUUUAGUUUUGAGCUUUUCUUUAAUGCACUUUUCAGUUAACAAGUCAACAUCAAUUUCUUUUGCUGUAAAAAAGCUUGAGGAAGGUGGCUUGAGAUUCGUCUUAAGUGUUUAUAGCCUCUUGCCUAUGCAGUCGGAGAGAUUGAGGUCUGCAGCGUAGAUCCUUCGGGGCUAAAUGCAUUUGUGCCAAGUUAUAGCAUUUUAUAGACAACUUGUUGACUAUGAUUUGUCUUGUAGCUUACUCGCUUAUGUUAUUUUACCUACGCUUAGGAUGUUGAUAUGCAUGACUGAUAU